rnacentral:sRNA from 1 species
UCAUACUGUGAAUCCAGGAUGAGUCCCA